AUUUAUAUGGUGAUCAUCAUUUAACACUUUCAAUGUUAAGAAGAAAUUUUUCUAUAAAUA
rnacentral:tRNA from 1 species